GGGGUUGUGGCUCAAGUGGUAGAGCGCUCGCCUAGCACAUGUGAGGCACUGGGUUCGCUCCUCAGCACCACA
rnacentral:tRNA from 1 species